AUAAGGGCGCACGGUGGAUGCCUUGGCACUAGGAGCCGAUGAAGGACGGGACUAACACCGAUAUGCUUUGGGGAGCUGUACGUAAGCUAUGAUCCAGAGAUUUCCGAAUGGGGGAACCCAACAUCUUUAAUAGGAUGUUACGAUUGUGUGAAUACAUAGCACAUUCGAGGUAGACGCAGAGAACUGAAACAUCUAAGUACCUGCAGGAAGAGAAAGAAAAUUCGAUUCCCUGAGUAGCGGCGAGCGAAACGGGAAAAGCCCAAACCAGCAAGCUUGCUUGUUGGGGUUGUAGGACUCCAAUAUGGUAGUUCUUUCAGAUAGUCGAAUGACUUGGAAAAGUCAGUCAAAGAGGGUAAAAACCCCGUAGACGAAAUGUGGAAGACACCUAGGAGGAUCCUGAGUACGGCGGAACACGAGAAAUUCCGUCGGAAUCCGGGAGGACCAUCUCCCAAGGCUAAAUACUCCCUAGUGACCGAUAGUGAACCAGUACCGUGAGGGAAAGGUGAAAAGCACCCCGGAAGGGGAGUGAAAUAGAACCUGAAACCGUGUGCCUACAACAAGUCAAAGCCCGUUAAUGGGUGAUGGCGUGCCUUUUGUAGAAUGAACCGGCGAGUUACGAUUGCAUGCGAGGUUAAGUUGAAGAGACGGAGCCGCAGCGAAAGCGAGUCUGAAUAGGGCGUUUGAGUAUGUAGUCGUAGACCCGAAACCAUGUGAUCUACCCAUGUCCAGGUUGAAGGUGCGGUAAAACGCACUGGAGGACCGAACCCACGUACGUUGAAAAGUGCGGGGAUGAGGUGUGGGUAGCGGAGAAAUUCCAAACGAACUUGGAGAUAGCUGGUUCUCUCCGAAAUAGCUUUAGGGCUAGCCUCGGAAUUGAGAAUGAUGGAGGUAGAGCACUGUUUGGACUAGGGGCCCAUCUCGGGUUACCGAAUUCAGAUAAACUCCGAAUGCCAUUCAUUCAUAUCCGGGAGUCAGACUGUGAGUGAUAAGAUCCAUAGUCGAAAGGGAAACAGCCCAGACCACCAGCUAAGGUCCCAAAAUAUAUGUUAAGUGGAAAAGGAUGUGGGGUUGCACAGACAACUAGGAUGUUGGCUUAGAAGCAGCCACCAUUUAAAGAGUGCGUAAUAGCUCACUAGUCGAGUGACCCUGCGCCGAAAAUGUACCGGGGCUAAACAUAUUACCGAAGCUGUGGAGUACACCUUUAGGUGUAUUGGUAGGAGAGCGUUCUAAGGGCGUUGAAGGCAGAUCGUGAGGACUGCUGGAGCGCUUAGAAGUGAGAAUGCCGGUAUGAGUAGCGAAAGACAGGUGAGAAUCCUGUCCACCGAAUGACUAAGGUUUCCUGGGGAAGGCUCGUCCGCCCAGGGUUAGUCGGGACCUAAGCCGAGGCCGACAGGCGUAGGCGAUGGAUAACAGGUUGAUAUUCCUGUACCCGUUGUUUUUGUUUGAGCAAUGGAGGGACGCAGGAGGCUAAGGAAUGCAGACGAUCGGAAAUGUCUGUCCAAGCAGUAAGUCUGAAGAGGAGU
rnacentral:rRNA from 1 species